GAUGAACGCUAGCGAUAGGCUUAACACAUGCAAGUCGAGGGGCAGCAUGGUCUUAGCUUGCUAAGGCUGAUGGCGACCGGCGCACGGGUGCGUAACGCGUAUGCAACUUGCCUCACAGAGGGGGAUAACCCGUCGAAAGACGGACUAAUACCGCGUACACUCUAUGUUGGGCAUCCAAUGUAGAGGAAAUGAAAUUCGCUGUGAGAUAGGCAUGCGUCCCAUUAGCUAGUUGGUGAGGUAACGGCUCACCAAGGCGACGAUGGGUAGGGGAACUGAGAGGUUGAACCCCCACACUGGUACUGAGACACGGACCAGACUCCUACGGGAGGCAGCAGUGAGGAAUAUUGGUCAAGGGGCGAGAGCCUGAACCAGCCAAGUCGCGUGAAGGAUGACUGUCUUAUGGAUUGUAAACUUCUUUUAUACGGGAAUAACAAGAGUCACGUGUGGCUCCCUGCAUGUACCGUAUGAAUAAGCAUCGGCUAACUCCGUG
rnacentral:rRNA from 1 species